UACGUAGGGUGCGAGCGUUAAUCGGAAUUACUGGGCGUAAAGCGUGCGCAGGCGGUUGUGUAAGACAGAUGUGAAAUCCCCGGGCUCAACCUGGGAAUUGCAUUUGUGACUGCACGGCUAGAGUGUGUCAGAGGGGGGUAGAAUUCCACGUGUAGCAGUGAAAUGCGUAGAGAUGUGGAGGAAUACCGAUGGCGAAGGCAGCCCCCUGGGAUAACACUGACGCUCAUGCACGAAAGCGUGGGGAGCAAACAGG
rnacentral:rRNA from 1 species